AAGCAGAGAUUUAAACUCGUACCUUUUGCAUCAUGAUUUAGCUAGUAAACCCCAAGCAAAGCGUACUUUAGUUUGACCCCCCGAAACCAGUGUGAGCUACUCCAAGACAGCCUAACAUAGGGCACACCCGUCUCUGUGGCAGUAGAGUGGGAAGAGCUUUGAGUAGAGGUGACAGACCUACCGAACCUGGUUAUAGCUGGUUGCCUGAGAAAUGGAUAGGAGUUCAGCCUCCCGGCUUCUCUAUUCAGAGCCUAUCACCCACCAAACAAAACGAUAGAUGCAAGAGAAACCGAGAGAGUUAGUCAAAAGAGGUACAGCUCUUUUGAAACAAGACACAACUUUCCCAGGAGGGUAAAGAUCAUAAUAAGAAUAAGGUAAAAUGUUUUGGUGGGCCUAAAAGCAGCCAUCCCUCUAGAAAGCGUUAAAGCUCAAACAUACCCCCUAUCCUAUUAUCCCGAUAACUUUAUCUUAGCCCCCUAAUCUUACCAGGCCGUUCCAUACAAAUAUGGAAGUGACCAUGCUAAUAUGAGUAAUAAGAGAGCCUCGCCUCUCUCCUUGCACAAGUGUAAAUCGGACUGGACCCCCCACCGAAAAUUAACGAUCCCAAACAAAGAGGGCACUGAACGAUAAAACCGGACAACGAGAAAAUCAUUCAAUAACUUACCGUUAACCCCACACUGGUGUGCUCCAAGGAAAGACUAAAAGAAAAAGAAGGAACUCGGCAAACACAUGAAGCCUCGCCUGUUUACCAAAAACAUCGCCUCUUGCAAAACUAUGAAUAAGAGGUCCCGCCUGCCCGGUGACUAUAAGUUCAACGGCCGCGGUAUUUUGACCGUGCGAAGGUAGCGUAAUCACCUGUCUUUUAAAUGGAGACCUGUAUGAAUGGCACGACGAGGGCUUGACUGUCUCCUUUUUCCAGUCGAUGAAAUUGAUCUCUCCGUGCAGAAGCGGGGAUACUAACAUAAGACGAGAAGACCCUAUGGAGCUUUAGACGCCAGGACAGACCAUGUCAAGCAACCCCAGACAAGGGGUCAAACCAAAUGCACCCUGUCCCAGUGUCUUUGGUUGGGGCGACCGCGGGGAACUACAAAACCCCCACGUGGAAUGGGAAUACCCUCCUACAACUGAGAGCUUCCGCUCUAGUGAACAGAAAUUCUGACCAGCAAGAUCCGGCAACGCCGAUUAACGGACCGAGUUACCCUAGGGAUAACAGCGCAAUCCCCUUUUAGAGCCCAUAUCGACAAGGGGGUUUACGACCUCGAUGUUGGAUCAGGACAUCCUAAUGGUGCAGCCGC
rnacentral:rRNA from 1 species